rnacentral:rRNA from 1 species
AUUGAACGCUGGCGGCAUGCUUUACACAUGCAAGUCGAACGGUAACAGGCCGCAAGGUGCUGACGAGUGGCGAACGGGUGAGUAAUGUUUGGCCUCGCGCCUUUGGAGCGGCCGAUGUCAGAUUAGGUAGUUGGUGGGGUAAAGGCCUACCAAGCCGACGAUCUGUAGCUGGUCUGAGAGGACGACCAGCCACACUGGGACUGUGACACGGCCCAGACUCCUACGGGAGGCAGCAGUAGGGAAUAUUGGGCAAUGGGCGGAAGCCUGACCCAGCCACGCCGCGUGCAGGAAGACGGCCCUCUGGGUUGUAAACUGCUUUUAACUGGGAAGAAAAGAGGCCUUGCGAGGCAAGUUGACGGUACCAGUUGAAUAAGCCACGGCUAACUACGUG